GACCCUACACAUAAUGAAACAAUCAUAAAUUUUAUUGGACCACGAAAGAAGUGAGCUAUCUUGGUCUAAUCUUGACAGUGGACCCUAGAAGGUGCAUGGAAGUAAAUUUCAUGAGACUUCUAAAAUAAACUAAUAGAUUAUUAAGGGAAUGGAUAUCUUAUGAGAUUUCAUGGUGGAGGAAGUGCGAAUAACAUCAAAGCUUAUUUUAUUACCAAAAUGGACCUAUUUGUUCCAUAUGAUUCCC